rnacentral:rRNA from 1 species
CGGACGGGUGAGUAACGCGUGGAAAACCUGCCGUAUACUGGGGGAUAACACUUAGAAAUAGGUGCUAAUACCGCAUAAGCGCACAGCUUCGCAUGAAGUGGUGUGAAAAACUCUGGUGGUAUACGAUGGUUCCGCGUCUGAUUAGCUUGUUGGCCGGGGGUAAUGGCUCACCAAGGCGACGAUCAGUAGCCGGCCUGAGAGGGUGAACGGCCACAUUGGGACUGAGACACGGCCCAAACUCCUACGGAAGGCAGCAG